rnacentral:rRNA from 1 species
UACAUGGGGUGCAAACGUUGCUCGGAAUUAUUGGGCGUAAAGCGCGCGUAGGCGGUUACUUAAGUCGGAUGUGAAAGCCCUCGGCUUAACUGAGGAAGUGCACCCGAAACUGAGUAGCUAGAGUACGAAAGAGGGUCGCGGAAUUCCCGGUGUAGAGGUGAAAUUCGUAGAUAUCAGGAAGAACACCCGUGGCGAAGGCGGCUUUCUGGGACGGUACUGACGCUGAGACGCGAAAGCGUGGGGAGCGAACAGG